rnacentral:rRNA from 1 species
AGAGUUUGAUCAUGGCUCAGGAUGAACGCUAGCGGCAGGCCUAAUACAUGCAAGUCGAACGGUAAAUAUGCAGCAAUGUAUAUGAGAGUGACGUACGGGUGCGUAACACGUAUGCAACCUACCCUUUACAGGCGGAUAGCUCGGGGAAACUCGAAUUAACCCGCCGUAAUAUAAUUGGAUGGCAUCAUUUGAUUAUUAAAUCUACGGAGGUAAAGGAUGGGCAUGCGUCUGAUUAGUUAGUUGGCGGUGUAAUGGACCACCAAGACGAUGAUCAGUAGGGGAACUGAGAGGUUGAUCCCCCACACUGGCACUGAGAUACGGGCCAGACUCCUACGGGAGGCAGCAGUAGGGAAUAUUGGUCAAUGGAUGGAAGUCUGAACCAGCCAUGCCGCGUGCAGGAAGAAGGCCUUCUGGGUUGUAAACUGCUUUUGCAGGGGCUAAAAAGCUCAUGCGUGGGAAAUUGGAAGUACCUGGUGAAUAAGCCACGGCUAACUACGUGCCAGCAGCCGCGGUAAUACGUAGGUGGCAAGCGUUGUCCGGAUUUAUUGGGUUUAAAGGGUGCGUAGGCGGCUUUGUAAGUCAGUGGUGAAAUAUCGCAGCUCAACUGUGAGGGUGCCAUUGAUACUGCAAAGCUUGAGUACAGAUGAGGUAGGCGGAAUUGACGGUGUAGCGGUGAAAUGCUUAGAUAUCGUCAAGAACACCUAUAGCGAAGGCAGCUUACUAGGCUGUAACUGACGCUGAGGCACGAAAGUGUGGGGAUCAAACAGGAUUAGAUACCCUGGUAGUCCACACUGUAAACGUUGAUUACUCGCUGUGUGCGAUAUACAGUACGCGGCCAAGCGAAAGCGAUAAGUAAUCCACCUGGGGAGUACGCCGGCAACGGUGAAACUCAAAGGAAUUGACGGGGGUCCGCACAAGCGGUGGAGCAUGGUGGUUUAAUUCGAUGAUACGCGAGGAA